rnacentral:rRNA from 1 species
AAAUUGAAGAGUUUGAUCAUGGCUCAGAUUGAACGCUGGCGGCAGGCUUAACACAUGCAAGUCGAACGGUAACAUGAGUGC